GACGUGAGGGGCAAACGUUGUUCGGUGUCACUGGGCUUAAAGAGCGCGUAGGCGGCUGUGCAAGUAAGGUGUGAAAGCCCUCGGCUUACCCGAGGAAGUGCGCCUUAAACUGCAUGGCUUGAGGGCCAGAGGGGUAGGAGGAACUCCAGGUGUAGCGGUGAAAUGCGUAGAUAUCUGGGGGAAGGCCGAUGGCGAAGGCAUCCUACUGGCUGGUUUCUGACGCUGAGGCGCGAAAGCGUGGGGAGCGAACAGGAUUAGAACCGUACCGU
rnacentral:rRNA from 1 species